rnacentral:rRNA from 1 species
GACGGAGGGGGCUAGCGUUGUUCGGAAUUACUGGGCGUAAAGCGCACGUAGGCGGCCCUUCAAGUCAGAUGUGAAAGCCCCGGGCUUAACCCGGGAAUUGCAUUUGAUACUGUUGGGCUUGAGACCGGGAGAGGAUAGCGGAAUUCCCAGUGUAGAGGUGAAAUUCGUAGAUAUUGGGAAGAACACCAGUGGCGAAGGCGGCUAUCUGGACCGGUACUGACGCUGAGGUGCGAAAGCGUGGGGAGCAAACAGG